rnacentral:rRNA from 1 species
AUGGCCAGGAAGGUCGCGCAGCGCAGGCCGGCGGCGCCUCCCGCGCCGCCCGCGGCGAAGAAGGUGGUCAAGGUCCCCUCGAGGACGGCCAAGAGGGCGGCUCCGAAGAAGCAGAAGCUUCCCGAGCCCUCCUCCGACGACGACUCCGAGGCGGAGCAGCAGCCGCUCCACGAGGAGGAGGAGGAGGAGGAUUCAGACGUCGAGGCCCCCUCCGGCUCCGACGCCGAGGAGCUCUCUGGCUCGGACGCCGGUAGCAGCGAGGAGGAGGAGGACGACGACGACGACGAAGAAGAAGAGGACGACGACCCCCUCGCCGGAGACUUCCUUGCCGGCAGUGAUGACGACAGUGACGAGGGGGGCGACUCUGGAGAGGAAUCAGAUGGGUCUGAUGACCUCGAGGCAAAGUCAGCAGCUCUUGAUCGACAGAAGGAGCAGGCUGAAGAAGAUGCAGCUGCGGACCUUGCACUCAACAUAAGAUCAGAAUCUGAUGAAUUCCGGUUGCCCACCAAGGAGGAGUUGGAAGAAGAGGCACUUGGACCACCUAACCUGCCAAAUCUUAAAAGGAGGAUCUCAGAAAUUGUACGGGUACUCUCAAACUUUAGCAAGCUGAGGCAAGAAAAUGUUGCCAGAAAAGAUUAUGUCGAUCAGUUCAAGACGGACGUGAUGGCGUACUAUGGAUACAAUGAAUUUCUCAUUGAAGCAUUUGUUGAGAUGUUCCCAGCUGUUGAGGUUGUUGAGCUACUUGAAUCAUUUGAAAAAAGACCCCCUGAGUGCUUGCGUACAAAUACACUAAAGACCCGUAGGAGGGAUCUUGCUGCUGCUCUUAUUCCUAGAGGGUUUAAUCUGGAUCCGAUUGGAAAAUGGUCAAAGGUAGGAUUAGUUGUGUACGACUCCACUGUUUCGUCUGGCGCCACUGUUGAAUAUAUGGCAGGACAUUACAUGAAACAAGGCGCGAGUUCCUUUUUGCCAGUGAUGGCUCUUGCUCCACAGGAGAAGGAGCGAAUAGUUGAUAUGGCAGCUGCCCCAGGUGGCAAGACCACAUACAUUGGAGCUCUGAUGAAAAAUACUGGAAUAAUCUAUGCAAAUGAGCUUAACGAGAAAAGGUUGCAUGGACUGUUGGGCAACAUACAUCGCCUGGGUGUGACAAAUACCAUAGUUUGUAAUUAUGACGGUAAAGAGCUCCCCAAAGUACUUGGAAUGAACUCAGUUGACAGAGUACUGUUGGAUGCGCCCUGCACAGGCACCGGAACCGUUUGGAAGGAUGCACAAAUAAAAACAUCUAAGGACAUCGAUGACAUCAGGAAUUGUGCUUUCGUACAAAAGCAAUUGCUUCUGGCUGCUAUUGAUUUGGUUGACGCCAACUCCAAAACUGGUGGUUACAUUGUUUACUCUACUUGUUCGAUGAUGAUUCCAGAAAAUGAAGCAGUCAUCGACUAUGCCCUUAAAAAGAGAGAUGUAAAGGUUGUUCCUUGUGGAUUAGAUUUUGGACGCCCAGGAUUCAUCCGGUUCCGGGAGCAUCGCUUCCAUACGUCUUUAGACAAAACAAGGAGGUUUUAUCCUCAUGUCAACAACAUGGAUGGCUUCUUCGUAGCCAAGCUGAAGAAGAUGAGCAACACAAUUCCAGCCUCGUCCGAGUCAUCUAAAGAGCCCGAAGAAGCAGCGGAGGGCGUUGUUGAUCCAAACCAUGAUGAGGAAGAUGAGAAAGAUGUUCCCGAUGGGCAAUCCACUAAGUCGAAGAAUCAUAAACAGGGAAAGAAGAAAAAUGAACAAGCAAGCAUCCCUGAAGGGGAGGGGGACCAGAGCCAGGCACCUGAAAGACCAGCAAAGCACCUCAAGAGCAACAAAGGCGUGAAGAAAAGUAGUGGCCCUAAAAGUGCUGAAAUGAACGGAGAUAAGAAAGAAACACACGAUGAACAAACAGAGCAUGUCAAGACUCAGAAGGGUUCCAAGAAAAGUAAAGGCCCUAAAAAUGCUGGAAUGGAUGUAGAUGAGAAAGAAACACCCAGUGAGCAAACAGAGGAGGUCAAAAGCCACAAGGGUGUGAAGAGAAGUAAUGGACCUAAAAGUGCUGGAAUAAAUGGAGAGAAGAAAGAUGUGGCCGAGGAACAAACAGACCAGACCAGCCACAAAAAGAAGCAUGUGUCUGAUAAAAUUAAGAAGUCUGGUUCCAAGAGCACCUCAGGGACCAAAGAGAAGAAACCGGUGUCCAAGGAAGGAAGCAAGAAGAGGAAAAGGAAAUGGCAAUUCAAGCUGAGGCGGGACUGGGAGGCAAAACAGAAGUCUGAGAAGAGGACGAAGGUUUGA